rnacentral:rRNA from 1 species
GACGAACGCUGGCGGCGUGCCUAAUACAUGCAAGUCGAGCGAAUCAAAGGGAGCUUGCUCCCUUUGGUUAGCGGCGGACGGGUGAGUAACACGUGGGCAACCUGCCUGUAAGACUGGGAUAACUUCGGGAAACCGGAGCUAAUACAGGAUAAUUCCUUUCCUCCCAUGAGGAAAGGCUGAAAGACGGUUUACGCUGUCACUUACAGAUGGUCCCGCGGCGCAUUAGCUAGUUGGUUAGGUAAGGGCUCACCAAGGCAACGAUGCGUAGCCGACCUGAGAGGGUGAUCGGCCACACUGGGACUGAGACACGGCCCAGACUCCUACGGGAGGCAGCAGUAGGGAAUCUUCCGCAAUGGACGAAAGUCUGACGGAGCAACGCCGCGUGAGUGAUGAAGGUUUUCGGAUCGUAAAACUCUGUUGUUAGGGAAGAACAAGUAUGAGAGUAACUGCUCGUACCUUGACGGUACCUAACCAGAAAGCCACGGCUAACUACGUGCCAGCCGCCGCAGUAACAC